ACUUCAUAGCUCGCCUCGCGAGCAGUCCAACUCGCCAUGGCGAGUAGCCCAGAUUAAAACUCGAUUUUUGAAAAGUUGUUAUAAGAUGUUUUGGGGAUGGUUUAAGGUACCUAGAUGAUAUUAAUGACGAAUGGUGGAAGUUUUAGGUUAAAAAGAUGAAUAGGGAACUUAGAAAUGGGAUUGGAGUGAGAAAAUGGCAUUUUUCCCCAGA
rnacentral:lncRNA from 1 species